rnacentral:rRNA from 1 species
AGCGAACGCUGGCGGCAGGCUUAACACAUGCAAGUCGAACGGUCCUUCGGGAUAGUGGCGGACGGGUGAGUAACACGUGGGAACGUACCCUUAGGUUCGGAGCAACACAGGGAAACUUGUGCUAAUACCGGAUAAGCCCUUCGGGGGAAAGAUUUAUCGCCUUUGGAGCGGCCCGCGUCUGAUUAGCUUGUUGGUUAGGUAAUGGCUCACCAAGGCUAUGAUCAGUAGCUGGUCUGAGUGGAUGGACAGCCAUACUGGGACUGAGACACGGCCCAGACGCGUACGGGAGGCAGCAGUGGGGAAUCUUGGGCAAUGGGCGAAAGCCUGACGCAGCCAUGCCGCGUGGAUGAUGAAGGUCUUAGGAUUGUAAAAUCCUUUCACCGGGGACGAUAAUGACGGUACCCGGAGAAGAAGCCCCGGCUAACUUCGUGCCAGCAGCCGCAGUAA